GACGAACGCUGGCGGCGUGCUUAACACAUGCAAGUCGAACGGACGGGCCCUGCUUUUGUGGGGUGCUCGAGUGGCGAACGGGUGAGUAACACGUGAGUAACCUGCCCUUGACUUUGGGAUAACUUCAGGAAACUGGGGCUAAUACCGGAUAGGAGCUCCUGCUGCAUGGUGGGGGUUGGAAAGUUUCGGCGGUUGGGGAUGGACUCGCGGCUUAUCAGCUUGUUGGUGGGGUAGUGGCUUACCAAGGCUUUGACGGGUAGCCGGCCUGAGAGGGUGACCGGCGACAUUGGGACUGAGAGACGGCCCAGAAGCCUACGGUAGGCAGCAGUGGGGAAUAUUACGCAAUGGGCGGAAGCCUGAUGCAGCAACGCCGCGUGCGGAAUGACGGCCUUCGGGUUGUAAACCACUGUCGCCUGUGACGAAGCGUGAGUGACGGUAAUGAGUAAAGAAGCACCGGCUAACUACGUG
rnacentral:rRNA from 1 species